AGAAGUCAGGUCGGAUUAAGCCAUAGUACGGAAAAAACUAUGCUACCUGUGAGCCCCGUCCAAGGACGUUAAAAGAAGCCAGGCCAUUACAAAUGCCAUAGCUGGAGUAAACUGUGCAGCCUGUAGCUCCACCUGAGAAGGUGUAAAAAAUCUGGGAGGCCACAAACCAUGGAAGCUGUACGCAUGGCGUAGUGGACUAGCGGUUAGAGGAGACCCCUCCCUUACAAAUCGCAGCAACAAUGGGGGCCCAAGGUGAGAUGAAGCUGUAGUCUCACUGGAAGGACUAGAGGUUAGAGGAGACCCCCCCAAAACAAAAAACAGC
rnacentral:lncRNA from 1 species